rnacentral:lncRNA from 1 species
UUUUAUGUAAUAAUUGAGAAAACUGAAUCUUUUCCUUUAAAAAGGAUAGUAUAAGUUUGUCGUAGCUCGUAGUAAAUUCAUUUAAAAGUUCUCCUUGCAGCGCUUAUCUUCGCUUCUUUAACGACUUAAAAGUUCUCUUUAGGGAUUAAGUAAAGCAGGGAUAUAUUUUUUUUUUACCUCUCUGCAAGCGUUAAUGACCGAGAUAUGUCUUUUCCAAAGUUCCAACUGAGAACAUUGCGUUCUAAUGCCUUCUUCUAAAUCUGCGAAUGAAUUGGUUGAUGCGAGUUUGGUCUUCCGAGAUCUUUCCAUCUUCUAAACAUCUUACAGGGUUUUGUAUUCUGUGUUAUCUCUUUUAUCUUAUCUUUAAGGCAUAUCGAUUAUCCAGGGAGUAAGAAAACAACACCAAAAAGAAAAAAAAUCCUGAUUUUUCCAGAGUUUUCAAAUGAUAAAUUUCUAAUUCCACAGUACUAGAAGCUGAUAAAUAGGUUUUCUUCUCGCGUUACCAAAAGGAUAAGAGAUUAAUGCUUAUUUAAAUUUUUUUUCUUUUUUUCUUUCCUCCCCUGGAUAAUAUAUCCACCAGUGAAAAUAUCUCGCAGCGAAUUUUAUAAAAUUAUAGAAAAUUUCGCGCUAGAUGUGCGAAAAUCCCAGGAGAAGAACUUAUUUAUUUUAUAGAAAGGAAUUUAGAAAUAGUGAAAAAAUAAAAAAAAAAAUGUUGAUGAAAUCACGUAUUUACAGAAAGUUGAAUUCGUAUAUAAGGGAAUUUCUCGUAAAAAUGUCGGAAAUAUGCAAAUAUAUUUGCAAAAUAAUUUGCAGAAAAAAUUUUAAAAAAGAG